CUACGUGCCAGCAGCCGCGGUAAUACGGAAGGUCCAGGCGUUAUCCGGAUUUAUUGGGUUUAAAGGGAGCGUAGGCUGGAGAUUAAGUGUGUUGUGAAAUGUAGAUGCUCAACGUCUGAAUUGCAGCGCAUACUGGUUUCCUUGAGUACGCACAACGUUGGCGGAAUUCGUCGUGUAGCGGUGAAAUGCUUAGAUAUGACGAAGAACUCCGAUUGCGAAGGCAGCUGACGGGAGCGCAACUGACGCUUAAGCUCGAAGGUGCGGGUAUCAAACAGGAUUAGAUACCCUGGUAGUCCGCACAGUAAACGAUGGAUGCCCGCUGUUGGUACCUGGUAUCAGCGGCUAAGCGAAAGCAUUAAGCAUCCCACCUGGGGAGUACGCCGGCAACGGUGAAACUCAAAGGAAUUGACGGGGGCCCGCACAAGCGGAGGAACAUGUGGUUUAAUUCGAUGAUACGCGAGGAACCUUACCCGGGCU
rnacentral:rRNA from 1 species